ensembl:lncRNA novel transcript
CUGGGCAGAGGGUCAUGUAGUGGAAUAGAGCUGUACCUGGCUUCAGGCGAGACUUGGAGCUCAAAACUUUCAGUAGGACAGCCAGGCGCGGUGGCUGAUGCCUGUAAUCCCAGCACUUUGGGAGGCCGAGGUGGGCGGAUCACGAGGAAACUGAGGCACAGAUAUGCUCUUGGGUACUUGUCAGCAGCAGUUGUUCUACAAGCUAAAUAUCUGGAUAUCUUAAAUCUCAGAUGAGCGUCUUAGCCUCUGGAUUACUGCUCAAUGAGGAAAGCUAUGAAAUGCAUGGAUAACUUGCUAAUCAGUAUUUGCCAUAUGUGCUAGCAGCAUCAGCAUCAGUUGGGAGAUUAUGGUGGCCUCCAUGUCAGACCUCCUAAAUCGGAAUAUCAGAGAAGGUGGCCCAGGUUACCAUGCUUCAUCUGCCAAUGCAUUGAAAACUUGGAAUGUAAAUUAAUUCAACCAUUGUGGAAGAUGGUGUAGUGAUUCCUCAAAGACCUAGAAGCAGAAAUAUCAUUUGAUCCAGAAAUCCCAUUACUGUGUAUACACCCAAAGGAAUAUAAACCAUUCUAUUACAAA